CUGCAGAAGUCAAGAUGGAGUUGAAAUUGAGUGUUGACACAGGUGGAGCCCAAGUCCUAUCUGAUCUGCAAAUCCCACUCCUACAGAGUCACCCCGGCCUGUGCAGCCUAGGAAUUGCCCAAAGCCUGCCCAGAGCUCAGGCCUGUGGGAAAAAUCAAGAAAGCUUUAUAUAGGAAGUGGACUGGUAGGACCUUAGGUAGGUGAGGAGGAGGAGCCCUGAGACUCUCCCCAACCCUGGAAUGAGGUGGGGGAGUUGGAGCUGGGCCCAUGCUGAUCUUCUCUACCCCUGAUCUCUGCUGAUUCCUGGCUGCAGGGUGUGUAUGUGUGUAGCUGGGAACAGGUCAGGUUUAAUUAUUAAUCAUCUGACCAGACUAAUCAGCCUAGAGCAACGUCUCUCUCUUCCGGGGCUGUGAAAUCCCCACUCACUAGCCCAAGCCCCCAGCACCUCCCAGACGCUAGGAGAGAAGAAGAGUGUGAGGAGUUUCCCUGCAGCCCCUGGGUCUUCAGGAGGCCUUGAUUAGGUGUGGGCAGCAGGCAGGCAGGUGUGGUUUCCACGAUGCAGGGUCAUAAACUGAGCUUUGUUCCCAGCUCCGCCCGGGAAGGUCCCUGAGAGAUGGGUGGGCCUGGCGAGGUGGGUAUGCAGUGAGGACAGAUAGGUUUGGAGAGGGCGUGCCCCUGGGGACCCAGAGAGGUGAAGCUGGCAUUGGAAGCCAGUCUGUGGCUGCAGAAGAAUCUGACCACUGAAAGGCCAAGCUUCAAGCCACACAAGCAGGGUCUGUGACACCAACCAUCAGAGCCACCUUCCAGUCCCCGGUGGGUGGCAACCUGGAAGGAAAAGAUGGGCAGGGCCAAGGCGGGGAGGUAGGGAGAUGCUCCCUGGCACCUCUCUGAGAAUACAGUCCUGUUCCUACAGCCAGCUGGUAGCUGGAUAGAGACCUGGAGCUUGGGCCUCUGUGGCUGCAGCCACAGGGAUGGGGAGGGGGCUGCUUCGUCCUUCAACAGUCACUGGUGCCUGUUCUGUGCAGACGCAGGGGACUAGGACACGCUUCCUGCCCUGUAGACUCAAUGGUUAAUGCAAGACCAACCUGUAAACAGAUCACAAGGCAGCCUGAUAAGGGCUAUAAAGAGAGGCCUCUGUGUGGGGCUGGGGGUGGAGAUGGUGUGCUGGGACACCGUGUGGGAGCAGAAACACCUGCAGGGAGAACAAAGAGGGUCAAGGAAGGCUUCGUAAUGGAGCUCAAUAAUCAAACUCUGGUCCAGUUCAAGUAUAAUCUAACAGAUCACAGCCUCAGACUGUCAAGAGAAACCUUGAUACUAACGGCUGCUGCUCACACCAACACCAAGUUUACCGAAUUCUUCGGGAAUACGAUGUGAAUAUACUUUAUUUCAGGUGUUUACAAUAAAAAGUACACAGGCCUUUUGUUCUAUUAACGCAGGGUAUGAGUAAAUGUGCUGCGCA
ensembl:lncRNA